rnacentral:rRNA from 1 species
UACGUAGGUGGCGAGCGUUGUCCGGAUUUACUGGGUGUAAAGGGCGCGUAGGCGGGUAAGUAAGUCAGUCGUGAAAUACCGAGGCUCAACCUCGGAGCUGCGAUUGAAACUGCAUAUCUUGAGUAUCGGAGAGGAAAGCGGAAUUCCUAGUGUAGCGGUGAAAUGCGUAGAUAUUAGGAGGAACACCGGUGGCGAAGGCGGCUUUCUGGACGACAACUGACGCUGAGGCGCGAAAGUGUGGGGAGCAAAC